rnacentral:rRNA from 2 species
GCAAGUCGAGCGGNNNAAGGGAGCUUGCUCCCGGAUGUUAGCGGCGGACGGGUGAGUAACACGUGGGUAACCUGCCUGUAAGACUGGGAUAACUCCGGGAAACCGGAGCUAAUACCGGAUAGUUCCUUGAACCGCAUGGUUCAAGGAUGAAAGACGGUUUCGGCUGUCACUUACAGAUGGACCCGCGGCGCAUUAGCUAGUUGGUGGGGUAAUGGCUCACCAAGGCGACGAUGCGUAGCCGACCUGAGAGGGUGAUCGGCCACACUGGGACUGAGACACGGCCCAGACUCCUACGGGAGGCAGCAGUAGGGAAUCUUCCGCAAUGGACGAAAGUCUGACGGAGCAACGCCGCGUGAGUGAUGAAGGUUUUCGGAUCGUAAAGCUCUGUUGUUAGGGAAGAACAAGUGCGAGAGUAACUGCUCGCACCUUGACGGUACCUAACCAGAAAGCCACGGCUAACUACGUGCCAGCANCCGNGG